ACAUGUAAGGACUUCCUAAUGUCAUCUUAUUAAUUGCUUCAUGGCUUUUUUGUAAUUCCAUGUUUUCUUUUUCUUUUUUUCUUUUUUCUUUUUCUUCUUUUCUUUUUUUUUUUCUUUUGGUUUCCACCUAUCUUUGUAAACUGGUGGAUUUUCUGUGAUGGUUUGCUUUGAAUCCCCUCUCUUAUCUGCUGUAACUCUUCUCUAAGUUUUUGCUUUGUGCUUACCAUGAGGCUUAGGAAAAACAUCUUACAGAUAAAGCAGUCCAUUUUAAGCUGAUAGCCACCUAACUGUGGUCACAUACAAAAGAUCCACCCUUUUACUUCUCUGCCUUUUAUAUUUUUGAUAUCAUAGAUUACCUCUUUUUUUUAUUAUAUGUAUUACAAAUGUUAGUAGCUAUAGUUAUUUUUGAUACUCUUCUCCUUAAACCUUUAUAUUAUAUUUAAGUAGAUAAUACAUAAUUCCAUUAUAGAAUUAAAGUUUUCUAAAUCUGACUGUAUAUUUACCUUUAUCUAUCAGUGUGUUUUAUUUUUUAAUUUUUUAAAUGUUUAUUUAUUUUUGAAAGAGAGAGAGAUACAAAGUGUGAGCAACAGAGGGUCAGAGAGAGAAGGAAACACAGAAUCUGAAGCCGGUUCCAGGCUCUGAGUUGUCAGCACAGAGCCCAACGCAGGGCUCAAACCUACAAACCAUGAGAUCAUGACCUGAACUGAAGUCUGACUCUUAACCAACUGAGCCACCCAGGUGCCCCAUCAGUGUGCUUUAUAGGUGAAGUUCUGGCGUGAAGUUCAUCCUAACUAUGGAGGAUUUGGAGAAUAAGAAAAAAAGUAGUGAAAAUGAAUAAAAGUGUAAGAAACAUGAUCAUUAAAGAAGCAAUACAAUUAAUAUACAGUGCAAUAUUGAUUUCAGAAGUUUCUACACAGCGAAGGAAACAACAAAACAAAAAGUGUAUGGAAUGGGAGAAGAUAGUUGCAGAUGACAUAUCCUACAAAGAGUAUCCAAAAUCUAUAAAGAACUUAUCAAACUCAGAACCCCCCAAAAAACCAAACAACCCUGUUAAGAAAUGGGCAAAAGACAUGAAUACUUUUCCAAGGAAGAUAUCCAGAUGCCUAACAGAUACAUGAAGAGAUGCUCAACAUCACUCAUCAAUAGGGAAAUACAAAUCAAAAUCACGAUGAGAUACCACCUUACACCUGUCAGAAUGGCUAAAAUCAGCAACACAAGAAACAACAGGUAUUAGUGAAGAUGAGGAAAAAGGGGAACCCUCUUGCACUGCUGAUGGGAAUGCAAACUGGUGCAGACACUCUGGAGAACAGUAUGGAUGUUUCUCAAAAAACUAAACAUAGAAAAACCCUACUCUCCAGCAAUUGCUCUACUAGGUAUUUACCCAAAGGAUACAGAUUCAAAGGGGCACAUGCACCCCAAUGUUUACAGCAGCAGCAUCAAGAAUGAGUCUUAUUUUAAACAUCACUUUACCCUUCCACUCAUGCUUCUUUUCUUGUAGUCUGUUGUGCUUUGUACUAGUCCUCAUACUCAGAAGAAGGAAAUACUGAGGCUGGUUUACUUAGUAGGAGACCAGUGGAAGACAAACUGCUUAACUCUAACCCUUUUGAAAGUGUUGAUUAAAACAAAACAAAGCAAAGCAAACAAACAAAAACAGUGGCAUUCUUCUGUAUGUCCCACAUGUGAGUCCUAAGAGCAAUGAAUAUUAAGGAACAGAAGAAGGAGGAGAAGGAAGAGAAGGAGAAGAAAGAGAAGGUGAAGAAGAAGCAGAAGAGGAAGGAGAAGGAGACAAAGAGAAGGAGAAGGUAAGGAAGAAAAGGAAGAGGAAGUUCAGAAAGAGGAGGAGACAGGAAAUAGGAAGAGAUGGUGUGUGUGUUUUGGGGGGAGGGGUUGAUUUGUUACCAGGGCCCUGAGAAAAUGAGUGAACUGUAGAUCCAGAAAUAGGAAACUAAAGUGAAAUAGGAGAGAGAAGUAGGUAGAAUGUUUACAAGUGUAUCAUAUCCCUAGUCUGAAACAAUCCUCCCAUUGUUUCCUUGGAUCACAACUACUUUAACCAUUUACCC
rnacentral:lncRNA from 1 species